rnacentral:rRNA from 1 species
AAUUCGAAGAUACACGUAAGAACCUUACCUGGCCUUGACAUGGUAGGAACCCUUAAGAGAUUAGGGGGUGCUAGCUUGCUAGAACCUACACACAGGUGCUGCACGGCUGUCGUCAGCUCGUGUCGUGAGAUGUUGGGUUAAGUCCCGCAACGAGCGCAACCCUCGCCUUAGUUGCUAACAGUUCGGCUGAGCACUCUAGGGAGACUGCCUUCGCAGGGAGGAGGAAGGUGAGGACGACGUCAAGUCAUCAUGGCCCUUACGGCCAGGGCUACACACGUGCUACAAUGGGGCGUACAGAGAGCUGCGAUACCGCGAGGUGGAGCCAAUCUCUUAAAGCGUACUCUCAGUUCGGAUUGUUCUCUGCAACUCGAGAACAUGAAGCUGGAAUCACUAGUAAUCGCAGAUCAGCUAUGCUGCGGUGAAUACGUUCCCGGGUCUU